UCGAGAAUCUUCCGCAAUGGACGAAAGUCUGACGGAGCGACGCCGCGUGCAGGAUGAAGUUCUUCGGGAUGUAAACUGCUUUUAUAGGGGAGGAAGUCUAUUGACGUUACCCUACGAAUAAGAGGUUGCUAAACUCGUGCCAGCAGCAGCGGUAAUACGAGUGCCUCGAGCGUUAUCCGGAAUCAUUGGGCGUAAAGGGUGUGUAGGUGGCCAUGUUAGUCUCUCGUUAAAUUCUUCGGCUCAACCGGGGACAUGCGAGGGAAACGGCAUGGCUAGAGGAUGCAAGAGGUCUGCGGAACUCAUAGUGUAGCGGUGAAAUGCGUUGAUAUUAUGGGGAACACCAAAAGCGAAGGCAGCAGACUGGGGCACUCCUGACACUGAGACACGAAAGCGUGGGUAG
rnacentral:rRNA from 1 species